rnacentral:rRNA from 1 species
UUUAAAGAGAGUUUGAUCCUGGCUCAGGACGAACGCUGGCGGCGUGCCUAAUACAUGCAAGUCGAACGAACGGAGGAAGAGCUUGCUCUUCCAAAGUUAGUGGCGGACGGGUGAGUAACACGUGGGCAACCUGCCUGUAAGUUGGGGAUAACUCCGGGAAACCGGGGCUAAUACCGAAUGAUAAAGUGUGGCGCAUGCCACGCUUUUGAAAGAUGGUUUCGGCUAUCGCUUACAGAUGGGCCCGCGGUGCAUUAGCUAGUUGGUAGGGUAAUGGCCUACCAAGGCAACGAUGCAUAGCCGACCUGAGAGGGUGAUCGGCCACACUGGGACUGAGACACGGCCCAGACUCCUACGGGAGGCAGCAGUAGGGAAUCUUCCGCAAUGGACGAAAGUCUGACGGAGCAACGCCGCGUGUAUGA